rnacentral:sRNA from 1 species
AACAAAAAUGUAUAAAGAUCCAUGUCAGAAGGAGAGACACAGGUUGACUGAUUUUAUAGCCAUAAACUAAUUGCAUUCUCAGUUUUUCCCCCCACACUUUUUGCCUCUUAAAUUUCCACCAUAAACGUUGAUAAUUCUUUAAAUUACAACAUGUACUUUCGGAUUCAUCCUUAAACAUACAUUUCCAAUUGAACCGGUCAUUAAACCGGAAUUAACCACAAAUUCGCGUUUACUGUACCGCGAUUGUGAUUUACCCGAUUAAUCACCUAUAUCCGUUAAGAAAAGGGUUGACUGAUUUUAUAGCCAUAAACUAAUUGCAUUCUCUGCUUUUCCCUCCACACUUUUUGCUCCUGAAAUUUCUACCAUAAACUUCGAUAAUUCAUAAAAUUGCAACAUGUACUUUCAGAUUCAUCCUUAAAAUAUGUUUCCAAUUGAACGGGUCAUUAAACCGAUAUUAACCAUAAAUCCGCGUUUACUGUACCGCAAUUGUGAUUUACCCAACUAAUCACCCACACCGUUAAGAAAACAAUGUUGUUUUGUAAGCCUACAAUGGAGCUUCAAGAAACACCACAUGGAGCCGAUACAAUCACACUCACACAAAGAAACAAUCUAUGUGAUCAAUGAGAGUAGUUCUAGUUCUUUAUUGAUUUAGAUUGUCAUUGGAACAAUCUUCAACCUCUUUUGUCUAUUUUGGAUGAUGUAUUUUCGGAAGUUGGUUCUCUUUAAGAUGAUAUUAUUUAGGUUGACUGAUUGAUUUGGAGUCUUAUCUAUCCUUAUGAUUAGGA